rnacentral:rRNA from 1 species
UUCCUACGGGAGGAGCAGUGGGGAAUAUUGCACAAUGGGGGAAACCCUGAUGCAGCGAUGCCGCGUGGAGGAAGAAGGUUUUCGGAUUGUAAACUCCUUUUAUCAGGGACGAUAAUGACGGUACCUGAAGAAAAAGCUCCGGCUAACUACGUGCCAGCAGCCGCGGUAAUACGUAGGGAGCGAGCGUUGUCCGGAAUUACUGGGUGUAGAGGGAGCGUAGACGGAGGAGCAAGUCUGAUGUGAAAAUCCGGGGCCCAACCCCGGAACUGCAUUGGAAACUGUUUAUCUAGAGUGUCGGAGAGGCA